GGAGUAUGGGCCGUGUCUCAGUCCCAUUGUGGCUGAUCAUCCUCUCAAACCAGCUACUGAUCGUCGCCUUGGUGGUCCAUUACACCUCCAACUAGCUAAUCAGAUGCAGACUCGUCCUAGAGCACCGGAGUUUUCACGAAUAGCAUCUCAGCUACGCGCAUAUGAGGUAUUAGCAGAAGUUUCCCUCUGUUGUCCCUCUCUCUAGGGCAGAUUCUCUACAUUUUAACUCACCCGUCCGCCCACUUUCCACUCACCGAAGUGAGCUUCUCGUUCGACUUGCAUGUAUGAAGCACGCCGC
rnacentral:rRNA from 1 species